UUGAACUGAGAAAUGAGCACAAGCUGGCAUUGACAGGGACUGGAUCUGUUUGUAAAUAUAUGUACACACACAUAUAUGCAGAUAUAUAUAUCUAUAUAUGUAUGCAUAUGUUUUU